rnacentral:lncRNA from 1 species
CAAGAUAACAACACUACACAAUUAUCACCGGAUAAUUGUACGAAUCCGGGUUCCCGGAAUGUCUAUUUCGACACCGGAACCCACCGUCGCUUACCCAUCAUCACCGAACCUACAAAAUGAUGAUGGUGACUAGCCAACAAGGCUCAGCGACCACACACAAGACAACCAAACCACGUCGGAAGAAAUCCAAACCGAAACCGCGUUCUUUCGGCGAAUUUUGCCGAAAAACGCACCGAAAUCGACUCUUCG